rnacentral:misc_RNA from 1 species
UCUCCGUUGGUGAACCAGCGGAGGGAUCAUUAAUGAGUUGUAAAACUCCAACCAUCGCGAAUAUCACCUAUUGCAGUUGCUUCGGCGGGUGGCCCUGAGAGGGGCCACGCUCUCCUACGGGGAGCAUGCCCGCCGGAGUCGUACAAACUCUUGUAUUUUUUGGCAUCUCUGAGUAACUUUUACAAUAAGUUAAAACUUUCAACAACGGAUCUCUUGGUUCUG